GAUGAACGCUGGCGGCGUGCCUAAUACAUGCAAGUCGAGCGAACGGACGAGAAGCUUGCUUUUCUGAUGUUAGCGGCGGACGGGUGAGUAACACGUGGAUAACCUACCUAUAAGACUGGGAUAACUUCGGGAAACCGGAGCUAAUACCGGAUAAUAUUUUGAACCGCAUGGUUCAAAAGUGAAAGACGGUCUUGCUGUCACUUAUAGAUGGAUCCGCGCUGCAUUAGCUAGUUGGUAAGGUAACGGCUUACCAAGGCAACGAUGCAUAGCCGACCUGAGAGGGUGAUCGGCCACACUGGAACUGAGACACGGUCCAGACUCCUACGGGAGGCAGCAGUAGGGAAUCUUCCGCAAUGGGCGAAAGCCUGACGGAGCGACGCCGCGUGAGUGAUGAAGGUCUUCGGAUCGUAAAACUCUGUUAUUAGGGAAGAACAUAUGUGUAAGUAACUGUGCACAUCUUGACGGUACCUAAUCAGAAAGCCACGGCUAACUACGUG
rnacentral:rRNA from 1 species